rnacentral:rRNA from 1 species
CGGAAUCUACCUUUUCGUGGGGGAUAACGUAGGGAAACUUACGCUAAUACCGCAUACGACCUACGGGUGAAAGUGGGGGACCGCAAGGCCUCACGCGAUUAGAUGAGCCGAUGUCCGAUUAGCUAGUUGGCGGGGUAAUGGCCCACCAAGGCGACGAUCGGUAGCUGGUCUGAGAGGAUGAUCAGCCACACUGGAACUGAGACACGGUCCAGACUCCUACGGGAGGCAGCAGUGGGGAAUAUUGGACAAUGGGCGCAAGCCUGAUCCAGCCAUACCGCGUGGGUGAAGAAGGCCUUCGGGUUGUAAAGCCCUUUUGUUGGGAAAGAAAUCCUAUCGGUUAAUAACCGGUGGGGAUGACGGUACCCAAAGAAUAAGCACCGGCUAACUUCGUGCCAGCAGCCGCGGUAAUACGAAGGGUGCAAGCGUUACUCGGAAUUACUGGGCGUAAAGCGUGCGUAGGUGGUGGUUUAAGUCUGCUGUGAAAGCCCUGGGCUCAACCUGGGAAUUGCAGUGGAUACUGGAUCACUAGAGUGUGGUAGAGGGAUGCGGAAUUUCUGGU